rnacentral:misc_RNA from 1 species
UCUCCGUUGGUGAACCAGCGGAGGGAUCAUUACAGAGUUGCAAAACUCCCAAACCAUUGUGAACGUUACCUAUCCCGUUGCUUCGGCGGGCGGCCCGGGCCCCGCGCCCGGCGGCCCCCGGCCCCCCGUGGGCGCCAGCCGGAGGUAAACCAAACCCUUGAAUUGCAUGGCCUCUCUGAGUCUUCUGUACUGAAUAAGUCAAAACUUUCAACAACGGAUCUCUUGGUUCUG